AGAGCGAACGCUGGCGGCAGGCCUAAAACAUGCAAGUCGAGCGCCGUAGCAAUACGGAGCGGCAGACGGGUGAGUAACACGUGGGAACGUACCCUUUGGUUCGGAACAACACAGGGAAACUUGUGCUAAUACCGGAUAAGCCCUUACGGGGAAAGAUUUAUCGCCAGAGGAUCGGCCCGCGUCUGAUUAGCUAGUUGGUGGGGUAACGGCCCACCAAGGCUACGAUCAGUAGCUGGUCUGAGAGGAUGAUCAGCCACACUGGGACUGAGACACGGCCCAGACUCCUACGGGAGGCAGCAGUUAGGAAUCUUGGACAAUGGGCGCAAGCCUGAUCCAGCCAUGCCGCGUGAGUGAUGAAGGCCUUAGGGUUGUAAAGCUCUUUCAGCGGGGAAGAUAAUGACGGUACCCGCAGAAGAAGCCCCGGCUAACUCGUGCCAGCAGCCGC
rnacentral:rRNA from 1 species